AGAGUUUGAUCCUGGCUCAGAACGAACGCUGGCGGCGCGUUUUAAGCAUGCAAGUCGAACGGGAACCUUGUCUUCGGACGAGGGGAUAGUGGCGAACGGGUGAGUAACACGUAGGUGAUCUGUCCUUGGAGUGGGGGAUAGCCCAUGGAAACAUGGGGUAAUACCGCAUGAGGUCUUGGAACUAUGGUUCUUAGAUGAAAGGAGCAAAUGUUCCGCUUUGGGAUGAGCCUGCGGUCCAUUAGCUAGUUGGUAGGGUAAAGGCCUACCAAGGCUACGAUGGAUAGCCGGCCUGAGAGGGUGAACGGUCACACUGGGACUGAGACACGGCCCAGACUCCUACGGGAGGCAGCAGCUAAGAAUCUUCCGCAAUGGGGGAAACCCUGACGGAGCGACGCCGCGUGGACGAUGAAGGCCUAGAGGUUGUAAAGUCCUUUUGCAGACGAAGAAUAAGGCAAGGAGUGGAACGCCUUGCUGAUGACGUUAGUCUUGCGAAUAAGCCCCGGCCAAUUACGUGCCAGCAGCCGCGGUAACACGUAUGGGGCGAGCGUUGUUCGGAAUUAUUGGGCGUAAAGGGCGCGUAGGCGGUGCUAUAAGCUUGGUGUGAAAUCCCCCGGCCUAACUGGGGAAUAGCGCUGAGAACUGUAGUGCUUGAGUUCUGGAGAGGAAGCUGGAAUUCCUGGUGUAGGGGUGAAAUCUGUAGAUAUCAGGAAGAACACCGGUGGCGAAGGCGAGCUUCUGGCCAGAAACUGACGCUGAGGCGCGAAAGCGUGGGGAGCGAACAGGAUUAGAUACCCUGGUAGUCCACGCUGUAAACGAUGUGCACUGGGUGUCGGGGCUUUAAUGGGUCUCGGUGCCGUAGUUAACGCGAUAAGUGCACCGCCUGGGGAGUAUGCUCGCAAGGGUGAAACUCAAAGGAAUUGACGGGGGCCCGCACAAGCGGUGGAGCAUGUGGUUUAAUUCGACGAUACGCGAGGAACCUUACCAGGGCUUGACAUGUACCUGACGGUCUGUGAGAGCAGGCUUUCUCUUCUGGGACGGGUACACAGGUGCUGCAUGGUUGUCGUCAGCUCUCGUGAGAUGUUGGGUUAAGUCCCGCAACGAGCGCAACCCCUACUGUCUGUUGCCAGCAUUAAGUUGGGGACUCGGACGGAACUGCCGGUGACAAACCGGAGGAAGGUGGGGAUGACGUCAAAUCAUCAUGGCCCUUAUGUCCUGGGCUACACACGUGCUACAAUGGCAGGUACAGCGCGCAGGAGCGAAUCGGUGACGUGGAGCCAAUCGCUAAAAGCCUGCCUCAGUUCGGAUUGGAGUCUGAAACUCGACUCCAUGAAGGUGGAAUCGCUAGUAAUCGCGCAUCAGCAUGGCGCGGUGAAUACGUUCCCGGGCCUUGUACACACCGCCCGUCACACCACCCGAGUUGGGGGUACCCGAAGUCGCUUGUCUAACCCAUUUAUGGGACGACGGCGCCGAAGGUAUGCCUGGU
rnacentral:rRNA from 1 species